rnacentral:lncRNA from 1 species
GCUCUCAGGCCUCCGCCCGGGCCCUCUAAGCUGCCAGCCGCGCCCGCCUCCGGGCUCCUCGCCCCUCCUCCCGCGCGCUCCCCUCCUCAGCGGCCGCCGGACCCCCUCAGUUCACUUCUCCCAGUUAACGCGUUCCUCGGACGCUGCUAGUUUGAGCGCACAGGCAUUGGGCGGGGCUCACGGGGGAGCCGCUUAAUAACCGACCAACAUGAAACUCAAGGGCUGCCCCUUCCUAGCGGGGACCCUGCACAGACCCGAAAAUAAGGGGUUUUGCUCUGCCCUCCUCAGUUCACGUGGGCACCUUGGAACACUGAAGAAGGCAUUUUCCGAACUCACUGUCCUACGGACUUAUUCUCCGCACUGUUUUCGCCUCCUUCGCCCUGUUCUCGUGACUGACAGGAGCAGGGGUCACAAGCAGGCAGCCCGAGAGCUCUGCUCACCUGGAAAAGCAUUUUUGUGUAGCUUAAAUGUGAAGGCCUCAGGCAGUGGCCUGUUGUCCUCCUCCACAUGCGCCCAUCUUCACUCUUUCAUGUGACUGGCCUGUUUUUGAAGGCAGGACCCUGUCACCCUUGGCUAGGCCAGGUCUUAAGAUAUGAAGACAAUGGGAUAACUGAGGCUGAUUUUGCUGUGUGGCCAUUAGACCUAGAAAUAUUGGUGUGAUUCUGGAGUUGAUUGCUCCACACGUUUAUUUAUUUAUUUUCCUUUUUUUCCCUCCUCUUCCUCCUCCUCUAUUCUUUAAAAACGUAUGGAAAUGUAUCCGGCAAUGUUUACUGUAAAAAAUAAUGUAUGGAAAUGACUACAAUUUGCUAAAAUAAAAAUCAUUGAGCACUUAUGUGUGUCAGACACUAUGCUAGGUAUAAAGAGGGGAAGAUGGUGUCCCUAUUCAAA